ACGGGAGGCAGCAGUGAGGAAUAUUGGUCAAUGGGCGGGAGCCUGAACCAGCCAAGUCGCGUGGGGGACGACGGUCCUACGGAUUGUAAACCCCUUUUGCCGGGGAGUAACGUGCGGGACGCGUCCCGCAGUGAGAGUACCCGGAGAAAAAGCAUCGGCUAACUCCGUGCCAGCAGCCGCGGUAAUACGGAGGAUGCGAGCGUUAUCCGGAUUUAUUGGGUUUAAAGGGUGCGCAGGCGGCGCGUCAAGUCAGCGGUCAAAUCCCGGUGCUCAACGCCGGUCCGCCGUUGAAACUGCCGUGCUCGAGUUCGUGCGAGGAGAGCGGAAUGCGUGGUGUAGCGGCGAAAUGCAUAGAUAUCACGCAGAACGCCGAUUGCGAAGGCAGCCCUCCAGCACUGGACUGACGCUGAGGCUCGAAAGCGUGGGUAUCGAACAGGAUUAGAUACCCUGGUA
rnacentral:rRNA from 1 species